CGCAUAUAUAUAUACAUACGUAUGUAUGUAUGUAUGUAUGUAUUUUUUGUGUGUAUAUAUGUGUGUGUGUGUGCGCGCGCGCGCGCCUAUAUAUAUAUAUAUAUAUACACAUAUGUAUUUUGUG